CUGUGAGGCUCCUCCUCCUCUAUGUGGCUGUGAAGCUCCUCCUCCUCUAUGUGGCUGUGAGGCUCCUCCUUCUCCUCUAUGUGGCUGUGAAGCUCCUCCUCCUCUAUGUGGCUGUGAGGCUCCUCCUCCUCCUCUAUGUGGCUGAGAGGCUCCUCCUCCUCUAUGUGGCUGUGAGGCUCCUCCUCCUCUAUGUAGCUGUGAGGCUCCUCCUCCUCCUCUAUGUCGCUGUGAGGCUCCUCCUCCUCCUCUUUGUUGCUGUGAGGCUCCUCCUCCUCUUUGUGGCUGUUAGUCUCCUCCUCCUCCUUUUUGUGGCUGUUACUCUCCUCCUCCUCUAUGUGGCUGUGAGGCUCCUCCUCCUCCUCUAUGUGGCUGUGAAGCUCCUCCUCCUCUAUGUGGCUGUGAGGCUCCUCCUCCUCUUCUAUGUGGCUGUGAAGCUCCUCCUCCUCUAUGUGGC
rnacentral:lncRNA from 1 species